rnacentral:ncRNA from 1 species
AAGGACAAAGGGUGGAAUAUUUUGUACCUUGGGUGGGAAAGAAGGCUCUAUGUUUCAGAAGACAAGCCACGCUCUGCAGCAUAAGGAUCCUGGAACUAGGCAAAUAAAGAGCCCAACUGUUUACCAAAAACAUAGCCCCCGAGCAAUAAUAAGUAUUGGGGGUAAUGCCUGCCAAGUGACACUGUUAAAUGGUCGCGGCAUCCUAACUGUGCAAAGGUAGCAUAAUCACUUGUCUUUUAAAUAAAGACUAGAAUGAAUGGCCAAAAAAGGUUCUACCUGUCUC